GUCCCUAGUGGCUUAGUGGUAGUUUGUAUGGCCUGUCUCUAUUAACGUUUGGGUUCAAAUCACGUUGAACUCAUAUUUUGUAGCGGACUCACAAUAUUUUUUUUCCCUUUAUAUAAUCUGUCUAUUUUUUACUCUUUUUAUAGUUCUAUGUGAGAAAUCGCUUUGCAAGUAGUAUAAAAUAUUGCUAUGUUGAACCUGGCCCGAAGAGAUCCAGCUAAUCAUUCUCUGUUGAUUUCAUAUUGAAUUCUUUCACCGCGUUCACCGCCAUUCACCGCAUAAUAGUCUCAUUCACCGCAUGAGAUAAGCAGGUCACAACAAUUUACUAUUGUCUUUAAUUUCACAAAAAUUUCAGAUCGUCCCUGGUGGCUUAGUGGUAGUUCGUCUGGCCUGUCUCUAUUAACGUUUGGGUUCAAAUCCCGUUGAAGUCAUAUUUUGUAGCGGACUCUCAAUAUUUUUCUUCCCUUUAUAUAAUCUGGCUAUUUUUUACUCUUUUUAUGGUUCUAUGUGAGAAAUCGCUUUGCAAGUAGUAUAAAAUAUUGCUAUGUUGAACCUGGCCCGAAGAGAUCCAGCUAAUCAUUCUCUGUUGAUUUCAUAUUGAAUUCUUUCAUCGCGUUCACCGCCAUUCACCGCAUAAUAGUCUCCUGCACCGCAUGAGAUAAUCAGGUCACAACAAUCUACUAUUGUCUUUAAUUUCACAAAAAUUUCAGAUCGUCCCUGGUGGCUUAGUGGUAGUUCGUCUGGCCUGUCUCUAUUAACGUUUGGGUUCAAAUCACGUUGAACUCAUAUUUUGUAGCGGACUCUCAAUAUUUUUUUUCCUUUAUAUAAUGUGGCUAUUUUUUACUCUUUUUAGAGUUCUAUGUGAGAAAUCGCUUUGCAAGUAGUAUAAAAUAUUGCUAUGUUGAACCUGGCCCGAAGAGAUCCAGCUAAUCAUUCUGUGUUGAUUUCAUAUUGAAUUCUUUCACCGCGUUCACCGCCAUUCACCGCAUAAUAGUCUCCUACACCGCAUGAGAUAAGCAGGUCAGAACAAUCUACUAUUGUCUUUAAUUUCACAAAAAUUUCAGAUCGUCCUUGGUGGCUUAGUGGUAGUUCGUCUGGCCUGUCUCUAUUAACGUUUGGGUUCAAAUCACGUUGAACUCAUAUUUUGUAGCGGACUCACAAUAUUUUUUUUCCCUUUAUAUAAUCUGGCUAUGUUUUACUCUUUUUAUAGUUCUAUGUGAGAAAUCGCUUUGCAAGUAGUAUAAAAUAUUGCUAUGUUGAACCUGGCCCGAAGAGAUCCAGCUAAUCAU
rnacentral:lncRNA from 1 species